rnacentral:lncRNA from 1 species
GAAAUCCUUGCUAGAAGAACAGUCGGUUCAAAAGGAGCCGAGUCAAUCAAGUGAAAGUGAAGAAUCGGCUGAAGAAGCCGAGGUAUAUAUGGCUAGUAAAGAGCCACUUUAUUCAAGGAGAAAUUCUUGAUAGAAGAACAUUCGGUUCAAGAAGAGCUGAAUCAAUCGAGUAAAAGUAAGAAUCGGCUGAUGAAGUCGAGGUAUAUGCAGCUGGGAUGAUAAAGAGCCGUUUUCUAGGAGUAGUUCCUGU